AUGCUGUUUCCUGGAAAGCCUUCUCAGAACUUCUGGAGUAAACUGGAAGUGGUAAUGACAUCAUCUCACAGAGGCCAUCCUAAGGAUUUUGUGGAGAUCAGAGCACUCCAUCUGGCAUAUAAUGCAAGGAUUCCAGUGGUAACUUACUCAAAUCCAGAUGGGGUCAUGGAGGAGUUCCUUCUGCCCUUUUCCUCCCCACGACUGGCUCUGGUGGCUUCCCCAAGAAUAGAGCAGCAGGUGAGCAGGUGGAGCCCUGAUUGCAGGGCUGUGAUGUGCUGAGAGGGAUUGAUCAGUCCUGGAUUCUCAAGCCCUAGAAAUUGCUUCAGACACCAGGAAAACAGGGAUCUGAUUGGAGUCAGUGGAAUUUAGUUUAUUUGAAUUGACUUCAACUGAAUGAAAUGGAAUUACUAAACUAAAUGAAAAUAAUUGAAUUGAAAUAUAGCAAAUUGGAUUGAAUCGAGAUUAAUUGAAAUGAAAUCAAUUGAAAAUGUAUUGAAUCAUGGUACUGGAAAAGGUUUAGAUGUUGCCUCCUCAACCCUAAUCAUUGCACAGUGAGGCAACUAAAGCUCAGGAAGGGUGGGGAAGGGUAUAAUGGAGGGUCAAUGACUUUGACAAGGUCAAGAUAGUGACAGAGCCAGGCCUCAAAGCCAGGCUAUCUGCCUCCCAGGCUAGCACCUAGCCCACCAUGUAUACUUCCAGAAUUGGCGGGGUCUAAGAUUACAUUUCCAAACAAAAGGCCAGGAGAUGAUUGAUAGAAAUCAGCAGGUGAAGAAGACUUGAGGAAAUAAUUAACAUCCAACUUUAAUAAUAUUCUUGACCUGCUAAUAAGCAACCCAGCCUGUCUUCUGUCCUCUGAGUUUGCCUUUCCAUUGCAUUCUUUCUGCCCACUCCAGGCUUGAGCCUACCCUGAUGUCCUGGUGAAAUCCAUGGAUCCAUGGAAGCAGCUUCAGGCCAGCCACUAAGUGACUUUCCAUUACUUUGGCUUAAUCUCAGUUUCCAUUUUUAGCCUUGUUCCAGUAACUGUUUUUUUUUUUUUUUUAAAUAUCCUUUGCCAUCAGGCCCUGGGCUGUGGUGGGUACAUGAAGAAUAAGAUACCUGAAGACUCUGAGCCUAGUGGUGGCAGAAGGAUAAAAGAAAAGUCUGUGAGCUGAUCCUCUGUGCAUUUACUUCAAGGAACAAGGAUAUAAUGUAGCUGAUGACACUUCUUGAAUUCUCAAUUAUAAGAUCAUUGUGCCUGAAAGUCUAUGUUAAUGCCAUUCCUUGGGUAAUGUUUAAAAAA
rnacentral:lncRNA from 13 species